GAUGAAGAACGCAGCGAAAUGCGAUAAGUAAUGUGAAUUGCAGAAUUCAGUGAAUCAUCGAAUCUUUGAACGCACAUUGCGCCCGCCAGUAUUCUGGCGGGCAUGCCUGUUCGAGCGUCAUUACAACCCUCAGGCCCCCGGGCCUGGCGUUGGGGAUCGGCGGAAGCCCCCUGCGGGCACAACGCCGUCCCCCAAAUACAGUGGCGGUCCCGCCGCAGCUUCCAUUGCGUAGUAGCUAACACCUCGCAACUGGAGAGCGGCGCGGCCACGCCGUAAAACACCCAACUUCUGAAUGUUGAUCUCGAAUCAGGUAGGAAUACCCGCUGAACUUAAGCAUAUCAAUAAGCGGAGGA
rnacentral:misc_RNA from 1 species